AUGGUUAAAAUAAAAAAGACAAUACAAAGUAUAGGUGUGGAUGUGGAACAAUCAGAACUCUCAAACACUACUGGUAGGAGUGUGAAUUGGAACAACCAUCUUGGAAAACAGUUUGGCAGUGUCUACUCAUGCGGAACAUACACAUAUCUUAUAGCUAACAGAAAAACAUGUCUAUAUUUGUCAAAAGACACACACAAGAAUGUUCAGAGCAACAUUUUAGUAAAAGCUAAAUACUGGAAACAACCCAAAUAUUUAUCAACAGUAGAAUGGAUAAAUAGAGCAUAUGCACACUCUGGGAUCCCGUACAGCAAUGAGAGAAGGAACUACAACCAAUGGAGCAAAAUGGGAAGGGGCGGAAGGGGGACCUCUGGGUUGGGGGAAGUGAAAACAUUCUGUUUCUUGGUCCAAUUUCUAGGCACAUGGAUGUGUACAUUUGGUGAAAAUUCAUUGAGUUGUACAUUUAUGUUAAACUGCAAUAAAACAUCUUCAUUUUUUUUUUCUCUUGAAGGGAGAAAGGAGAAGAGAAAGGGAAGUAGUGUCUGUUUGUACCUCCUUUGGGCCACCGUCAUGCCAGAGUUUACCAGCAUCAGCUCGUGUAAUCCCAACCAUUUUAUGAGAUGAACAGACUCUAUCAAAGACUGAGAGUGAUAAGCUGGGAUUAGAUACAGUUUGGGAUGCGGCUGAAGAAUCUGGUGCUGCUGACUUCAUUUCUACUCCCAAUAUAAAGAUCAAGGGAAAUCCCAUGGGGUGGGAAGGAAUACAUUUGUCCCUUAAAUGAACAAAACACAAAACACUGUGGGGAAUGUGAAGAAAGAGCUCUAAGAAGAUACAAUCUGGAGGGGCCUCCCCUGUAGUUCCCAAAACAUUCCUCUGGGUUUCUCCCUUUUCUCCCUGUCAUGCCCAACACCCAGUGGUCCAUUCAGGCUCAAGAAAGAAACAAAGGGAAUUCCUUCUUCCUCUUCUAAUUCCUUAGAGAAAGUCUUUGCAUUUUUAAAGGAACUAUUCUAAAAUUGAGAGAUGCUAACAUGAAAAUGAAGAAAAUACAAAAAUGCAAAAGCAUAUGCAGGCUUAAACUACAGGUAUUGUGCAAGAAAUCAUACUAAUUAUUGGGCAGAGAAGCCCAGCUUCACUCCAUACCAUGUCUUAGGAGUCUGUCCAGAGUCCCUCUUUUUUGGUUCUGGAGCUGGUUUCCCUCCUGUUCUGGCAUGAAGUUCUAGUCAGUAAAUGUCUGGAAGGUCCUUACAGCUAUUAGUGGAAAGGUGAGCUGCUGGCCCUCCUCCAAGGAGUAGGGCACCCCUUAACUUCCUCCAGGACCCCACCUGCAUGGAGCGGAUGUAAACAGUCUGGACACACCGUCUGCUAACCACGGGGAAGGGCCAAAGGGCCUCCACAAAUUCUGGCAAAGUGUCCACAGCACUGUAAAACAAAACAAGAGAAAGUUCGAGCUCGUGCUGCUAGUUCGGUUUAUUUCAGCAUCUCCUUUUCUGCAGGCAUCAGGAACAUGACAGACAGGGAAAUUGGGUUUCAGAAAUAGCACCUGUCGGAGAACGGCAGGCACCACCCCCCACCCCCGUCAGCACCAAAUGGUCUUAAUUAACUUUGGACACUUCCGCACCUCACA
rnacentral:lncRNA from 1 species